rnacentral:lncRNA from 1 species
AAAAAUUCGUAUUUUCAUAUCGAGCUAAAAUUUUUCUUCAAUAGGUGUAAGAAAUUUAAGUUUCUACAUCAUGAGUUCAGUAUUCUAGGCGGCAAAUCGACAUGUCUCUAUAAAUAUUGAGGUGCUGAUGUAUUUUGAGAUGGAGGCAAUCAGAGAACUUGAGAGGGUUGUGGACAGUGCUUAGCACACAGGUGUCGCACACCACACUACCCAGGGCCUGCCUUGGCUGGUGGCUCUUCUGGACAGCAGGGAACUUUGAGACCACUCCCCGAGGACCCAGGGCGCCCCAAGAGACAGCGGGUUGGAAGCGGGUAGAGUGGACAGAAGUAGAGACGGCGGGAGCUGCGGGUGGCGGCAGCAGCGCCCAGGGUCCGAGGCCCUCGGGUCCUCUGGGCUGCGGGACGCAGAGACUUUGAGGAGGAGCGCGAGCGUCCCCCCGCCCCUCCUGCCUCCACGCGGGGCGCGCCGGGAUCGGGGGCGGGGGGGGGGGUGGUGGUCCGAGAGCGCCCCCCUCUCCCACGCGGGCCUCGCGGGGCGGUGAGUCAAGGCCGGGAGCCGAGCCGCUCUCCCCGGCAGACCCGACCGAGGCGCGGGCGGCGGCGCGCAGGACGGGGAUCCGAGACGCGCUCCCGCCGCCCCAGCUGCGCCGCGCUCCCGGCCACAAGUUUGCCCCGCGUUGGCCAAGUUGCGAGUGGGGAGCCUCUCCGGGCUCCGGGUGAGCAGUGUCCCUGAGAAUGAAGUCUAAAGCUACCUGGGGUGUGUGAAAUCAUCGAGGUCCAACUGUCUUCACCAACACAAAGAAGUCAUAAAGUCUUUCAGAGUGUGAGAAGGUAAUGGGUGGGUGAAGCUUUUGAAUUACUGAAAGUCAGAUGCAAUAAAUUCUAUCAUUCAUAGGACCUGGGGCA